rnacentral:rRNA from 1 species
CCUACGGGAGGCAGCAGUGGGGAAUAUUGCACAAUGGGCGCAAGCCUGAUGCAGCCAUGCCGCGUGUAUGAAGAAGGCCUUCGGUUGUAAGCACUUUAAGCGAGGAGGAAGGGCUCUUGAUUAAUACUUGAGAGCAUUGACGUUACUCGCAGAAUAAGCACCGGCUAACCUCUGUGCCAGCAGCCGCGGUAGCAACA